UCCCUGAUAGCUCAGUGGUGAAGAGUCUGCCUGCCAACGCAGGAGACACAGGUACGAUCCCUGGUCUGGGAA
rfam:Ovis aries breed Texel chromosome 14, whole genome shotgun sequence.